rnacentral:rRNA from 1 species
CCCUUAGAUGUCCUGGGCCGCACGCGCGCUACACUGAUGCACGCAACAAGCGUAUACUUCAAUGCUCUGGGGGUCAUUGGAUGAAAUCCUUUGGCUAUUUUAAACUCAGCUCACAUUAACUAGUUUUUUGUGAUAUUUGCAUUGAUCCGACCUUAACCGAAAGGUUUGGGUAAUCUUUUAAAAGUGCAUCGUGAUAGGGAUAGAUUAUUGCAAUUUUUAAUCUUGAACGAGGAAUUCCUAGUAAACGCAGUUCAUUAGACUGCAUUGAUUACGUCCCUGUAUUUUGUACACACCGCCCGUCGCACCUACCGAUUGAAUGGUUCGGUGAAAAUUUCGGACCGUUUAUAUUGACCUUUAUUGGUGAUAUAUGAAUGGGAAGUUAUUUAAACCUCAUCAUUUAGAGGAAGGUGAAGUCGUAACA